GAUGAAGAACGCAGCGAAAUGCGAUACUUGGUGUGAAUUGCAGAAUCCCGUGAACCAUCGAGUCUUUGAACGCAAGUUGCGCCCGAAGCCAGUAGGCCGAGGGCACGCCUGCCUGGACGUCACACGCCGUUGCCCCCCCAUCUACUCCUUCGGGAUUGCGGGGGGGCGGAUGAUGGCCUCCCGUGCGCCUAGCCGCGCGGUUGGCAUAAAUACCAAGUCCUCGGCGACGCACGCCACGACAAUCGGUGGUUGCGAAACCUCGGUUGCCCGUCGUGUGCGUUCGUCGCGCAUCGAGGGCUCGAAAAAAUGCUCGGCUCCGGCUGGGCUUUCAACGCGACCCCAGGUCAGGCGGGGUUACCCGCUGAAUUUAAGCAUAUCAAUAAGCGGAGGA
rnacentral:misc_RNA from 1 species